CAAUUCUAAGCCAUAUCUUCAAGGGCCCCUAUAUGAAUGAAAACAGAACUGGUAACAACUAACGGUUGAUGUAUAAUUGGAUAUGAGGAUAGGAUGUGACUUUUGGUGAAAAGUAGUACUGGAGAAUAUUUCUAUUCUGCUGUGUAUGCACAUUUCUUACAGAGAAGAAAUAUACAAUAUACAUUGCCAGAGUUGUAGCGUUGGUGAAAUAUCACAAGAUGGCCAAGAACAGUAGUUAUGAAACUAUUUGCACCCUCGUGCAUCACAUCACCUGAUCUUAUAUUUAAUCUCCUCGAAAAAACCCAGCUGAUAUUAAAUUCACUCUUCCAGAAGAAUAGCAGCUGAUAUUUCUUUUACUCUCCAGGAGAAAUAGCAGCUGAUAUUUUAUUUACUCUCCCAGAUGAAAAACAGCUGAUUUAUUUUCUUACUCUCCCCAAAAAUAGCGGUGAUAUUUCAUGCACUCUCCCAGAGAAAUAGCAGGUGGUAUCUUAUUUACUCUCUAAGAGAAAUAGCAGGUGGUAUUUUAUAUACUCUCUAACAGGAAUAGCAGCUGGUAUUUUAUCUACUCUCUAACAGGAAUAGCAGGUGGUAUUUUAUCUACUCUCUAAGAUGAAUAGCAGGUGGUAUUUUAUCUACUCUCCCAGAGGAAUAGGAGGUGGUAUUUGAUCUACUCUCCCAGAGGAAUAGCAUGUGGUAUUUUAUCUACUCUCUAAGAGGAAUAGCAGGUGGUAUUUUAUCUACUCUCCCAGAGGAAUAGGAGGUAGUAUUUGAUCUACUCUCUAAGAGGAAUAGCAGGUGGUAUUUUAUCUACUCUCUAAGAGGAAUAGCAAGUGGUAUUUUAUCUACGCUCUAAGAGGAAUAGCAGGUGGUAUUUGAUCUACUCUCUAAGAGGAAUAGCAGGUGGUAUUUUAUAUACUCUCUAAGAGGAAUAGCAAGUGGUAUUUUAUCUACGCUCUAAGAGGAAUAGCAGGUGGUAUUUUAUUUACUCUCUAAGAUGAAUAGCAGGUGGUAUUUUAUCUACUCUCUAAGAGGAAUAGCAGGUGGUAUUUUAUGUACUCUCUAAGAGGAAUAGCAGGUGGUAUUUUAUCUACUCUCUAAGAGGAAUAGCAUGUGGUAUUUUAUCUACUCUCUAAGAGGAAUAGCAGGUGGUAUUUUAUCGACUCUCCCAGAGGAAUAGCAGGUGGUAUUUUAUCUACUCUCUAAGAGGAAUAGCAGGUGGUAUUUUAUCUACUCUCCCAGAGGAAUAGCAGGUGGUAUUUUAUCUACUCUCUAACAGGAAUAGCAGGUGGUAUUUUAUCUACUCUCUAAGAGGAAUAGCAGGUGGUAUUUUAUCUACUCUCUAAGAGGAAUAGCAGGUGGUAUUUUAUCUACUCUCCCAGAGAAAUAGCAGGUGGUAUUUUAUCUACUCUCAAAGAGGAAUAGCAGGUGAUAUUUUAUCUACUCUCUAAGAGGAAUAGCAUGUGGUAUUUUAUCUACUCUCUAAGAGGAAUAGCAGGUGGUAUUUUAUCGACUCUCCCAGAGGAAUAGCAGGUGGUAUUUUAUCUACUCUCUAAGAGGAAUAGCAGGUGGUAUUUUAUCUACUCUCUAAGAGGAAUAGCAGGUGGUAUUUGAUCUACUCUCUAAGAUGAAUAGCAGGUGGUAUUUUAUCUACUCUCCCAGAGAAAUAGCAGGUGGUAUUUUAUCUACUCUCUAAGAGGAAUAGCAGGUGGUAUUUUAUCUACUCUCCCAGAGAAAUAGCAGGUGGUAUUUUAUCUACUCUCAAAGAGGAAUAGCAGGUGGCAUUUUAUUUACUCUCUAAGAGGAAUAGCAGGUGGUAUUUUAUUUACUCUCUAAGAGGAAUAGCAGGUGGUAUUUUAUCUACUCUCUAAGAUGAACAGC